UAAAUCAGUUAUGGUUCACUAGAUCGUACAGUUUACACGGAUAACUGUGGUAAUUCUAGAGCUAAUACGUGCAACCAGCUUACUCCCUUGUGGAGUAAGCGCAGUUAUUAGAACAAAACCAAUCCGGCCUUCGGGUCGGUAAAAUUGGUGACUCUGAAUAACCGAAGCGGAGCGCAUGGUCUCGUACCGGCGCCAGAUCUUUCAAGUGUCUGACUUAUCAGCUUGUUGUUAGGUUAUGUUCCUAACAAGGCUUCAACGGGUAACGGGGUAUCAGGGUCCGAUACCGGAGAGGGAGCCUGAGAAACGGCUACCACAUCCAAGGAAGGCAGCAGGCGCGCAAAUUACCCACUCCCGGCACGGGGAGGUAGUGACGAAAAAUAACGAUGCGAGAGCUCUAAGCUCCUCGUAAUCGGAAUGGGUACACUUUAAAUCCUUUAACGAGGAUCUAUUGGAGGGCAAGUCUGGUGCCAGCAGCCGCGGUAAUUCCAGCUCCAAUAGCGUAUAUUAAAGUUGCUGCGGUUAAAAAGCUCGUAGUUGGAUCUGGGUAGCUGGAUAGAUGGUAUGCUUAACUGUGUUACUGUCUGUUCGGCGCCACAAGCCGGUAUGUCUUGCAUGCUCUUCACUGGGUGUGCUUGGCGACCGGAACGUUUACUUUGAAAAAAUUAGAGUGCUCAAAGCAGGCGUACGGCCUUGCAUAAUGGUGCAUGGAAUAAUGGAAUAGGACCUCGGUUCUAUUUUGUUGGUUUUCGGAACUCGAGGUAAUGAUUAAUAGGAACAGACGGGGGCAUUCGUAUUGCGGCG
rnacentral:rRNA from 1 species